rnacentral:lncRNA from 1 species
CGCACCCGGAGCCGGUGCCUUUUAGGUGUGACACAUGUCCGAGUCGGAGCGGAAGUGGCUUCCCGUCGGGAUCCGUAGGGCGGUGGGGAGCUAGCUGCGGCAGCGACGGUGGCGGUGGUGGCAAAGCUCUGUUCACAGCGUACCGUGUCGGUCCUGCAGCGGUUGCUCAGUACCGGGCGGUAGCAGCAACUGCCACGACUCACGGGGAGAGCUUGGAAGAGCAGCGAGGAACGCCAGGAAAGGGGUGUGUCUGGAGGGACGUGAUAUAUUUGGUGUCGAGAGAAGGACCUGAAACUUGUUCCUCGUAAUAGUUGAUUGCUUUUUCCUCUUUUGAUAACAGAUUCUGGAGACAUUCGACGUCUCCGUUCUCUAUUUUCUCGGCCCUUCUCAGUUUAUUCGUAAACUGAUGUGAGUGAGAGCUUUUUAGUGCAACCUCUGAGUUAAGGUGCGUAUGGGGCGGAUGAAGCCGUCAGAGGAAAAAGAAAUGGGAGAGUGGGAGCCAGGUAGGAGGUGGUAUGAGGGAUGAGGGAACAAGAUGAUGAUAUUCAAGUUAACGUUUACAAGGUUUAUGGUACUAGACACUGUUCUGAAACCCUUUAGAUGUGGUAAUUCAUUUAGUUUUUUGAGGUUGGUACUCUCAAUUAGUCUUAUUUUACAAAUGGUGAAACGGAGGCUUAUUAUUUAUACCUCAUAGCAACCUAGAAGUUAAGGAACAUGUCCAGAGAAAGGCAAAUGAAAA